GCAGGGCAUGGUGGUGAAUGCCUGUAAUCCCAGCUACUUGGGAGGCUGAGGCAGGAGGAUAGUGAGUUUAAAGCCAGCCUCAG
rnacentral:sRNA from 1 species